UAAGCAUUUGGUGAAAUCGUGUGGCUCAACCAUACUCACAUCAAGUGAACUGCAAAGCUAGAGGACAAGAGAGGUCACUGGAAUUCCUUGUGUAGGAGUGAAAUCCGUAGAUAUAAGGAGGAACACCGAUGGCGUAGGCAGGUGACUGGCUUGUUCCUGACGCUCAGGCACGAAAGCGUGGGUAGCAAACGGGAUUAGAUACCCCGGUAGUCCACGCCGUAAACGAUGGAUGCUA
rnacentral:rRNA from 1 species